rnacentral:lncRNA from 1 species
GGUCCCUGUCCAGCAGGCAUAUUCCUGGAGCCAUCUUUUAUCCUUGAGAACUCCUUAUGUUCUGGCUAGAGGGUCCCCAAAUACUUUGAUUUCAGUAUAAAAUGGUCUCACAGAUAGAUCCUCCUAUAUACUCCUCAUAACUCCCUUUUCUCCUUGUCUUUAGUGCCUCUUCUGAGCCAGGCAGGUGUACACAGACCUCAUUCACUCUCACAAAAGAAAGAUGCUGUUACUUGCAUUUUAUAGGUGAGGAAACUGGGAAUCAGAGAGGUUAAGUCACUUACUCAAAGCGACACAACUAUUAAGUGGAAGAACUGGGGUCUGACUGACCUCUUAACUUCCACCCUCCCCUGCCCCCUCCACCCACAUGGGGUGAGCUGCUGGGUGGCGUUCUGCCGUGACUUUGUACGUGCAGCAAGGGCCCUGCUCCCCAUCCAGGGCACUUGCUCUAGAAACAUGACUUGUAGCUUCAGAGGAGGAAGAGUUGCAGGAGCAGGAAGGCUGUGAGGCAGGGCUGUGUGAAUAAGGCAUGCACUAGGUGGGUGUAGGCGUGCCAGAAAAACCUGAUCCUGAAAAAAGUCCUUGUAACCCAGGGUGAGGUGGAGAUGAAGGAGAGACUGCAGAGCAAGCGGGGAAUUGAGAAGGGGUAUGGAGGAAGCUAGAAAGGCCUUGAGUUCAUCCCCCGGGCCUCAGGGAGAGGGUACUGUACACAUUUUAGCUGGAUAGGGAGCCUUAGGCCUAGUUUUAUCCCCCAAGAGCAACAUCAGUCUCUCACCUGUUUUACUGUGCGCUGGUUACGUGUCCAGCUAUGUGAGGCUGGGGCACCACAGAUCUGUCCGUGUUAUCUGUGGUGUGAUCUAACCUCUAAUAAGGGGAUGCAUGGAGAAACAGGCCUUCCCAGUCUGAAUUCCUGGAAGGAAUAGAGGGUGGACAUUUCAUCAGUGCGUAUUCUUGGCAGACAGAGGCAGCAGGGCCCCUGGGCUUGCCUGGCUGCUCCCGCCCAUGAGCGCUCACGUCAGACAGCAGGAAAUCCCACAGAAGCUGCAGUCCCAGACAUGAGUCGGGGUGGGGCAUUUGGGACUUAUUCAUGGGGCUCAGAUACCCUUUGGUUCCCAGAGCUGCUGGGAGAGGACCCCUCUGGCACCCAGCCAGCUCAGGGACUCCAGACAGCUCCUCAAGAGCAGACAGUUUCUGCCAGUGUCCCUUAAAGGGUCACCUCUCCUCCACCCUCAUGUCCUGAACAUCAUCCAGGAUGAACCCCAGGAAGCAGAUGGAUUCAUGCAAGGCAGUCUGAGCCCCGAGACUGUCAAAAGCCAUCCUCUAAUAAGUUCCCAGCCCCAUUGCUGUUACUAUUAGGUGUUCACCUAAUACGCUCUUAACCCUGUGGAUUUGCUUGACUCUCUGCCGACACACAUUGGGAUGUGGUGCAGCAGUUAGGCAAGUCAGAGUCCCUCGCAAAUCACGUGGUUUGGGGCAAAUUCUCGAGUCAGAGUCCCUCGCAAAUCAUGUGGUUUGGGGCAAAUUCUUUAGUCUCCUUGAGACUAAGUUUCCUAAACAGGGAUGAUAAAAGUAGCGCAAACUCAUAGAGCUGGUGGCUGGCACAGACACAUUAUUGAUGCUAAAAACAUAGGAAGCAGCGGGAACUGGGCAUUCUCGUGUAGCUCCCUGUGUAACAGCAUUGGAGAGCCGCCACACUGAUGCUCUCAGCACCACCCCCGCUUUUGGGAACAGCUUUAUUGAGAUAUAAUUCUCUUAUCAUACAAUUGACCUAUUUAAAGUAUACAGCUCAGUGGUUUAUAUUCACCAAAUUGUGCAACCACAGCCUCCAUUUUAGGACAUUUUAUUAUCCCAAGAAGCAUGUAUGCUUUACCCAUCACGGUUACCCUUCUUCCCCUCCAUUGGUCCUCAGCUCUUGGAAACUUGGAAACCACUAAUUUUCUCUCUAUCUGUACAGAUUUGCCUCUUCUGGACAUAUUAUAAACAUGGAAUUGUCAAUUUUGUGGUCUUUUCGACUGGCUUUCUUCGACUGGGGAUGUAACAUUUUCAAAGUUCAUCCACCGUCUUUGGAUGGUUUAUAGGGUGAGCUUGAUUCAUUCCCUGUGCUGAAACCUUCACCAGGCCUUGGCAGGGCUGGCCUCUGGUCCUGAGUGUAGGUUCCUCUGGCACAUUUCCUCUCCCUACUCUUUGGAGCAUGUGGGUUUUCUCUCCUACUCCACUGUCUUGAAGCUGAUCGAGUCUGGAUCUUGUAGGGAAAUAUUGAAUGUGCCUGCGGUUUAUUCCCACCACUUCCUCUGGCCUGGUCAGCAGCUUGGGGGCAGGGUGGAAACUGGGCAAAGUCUUUACUCCUCUUUCUCCCCGGGGACUCUCUUUCCUGGAGGGGGUGGGGAGAGAGACAACACAACAUCUUUAUUUGUUUUUAAUGCUGACUAACUUCCCAGCCUGCUUCUCAGGUUCUGGUGAAAGUUGCUGCGUUCCUGGUCAGGCUCUGUUCCCUUGAGACACAGGGUCAUGGGACUUCUCUUUUGCAGGCAGCUGGUGGGGAAGUCACCCGGUGCUUUGGAUAAUGAACCUGACUAGUAUCCAUGAGGAUGCAGGUUCGAUCCCUGGCCUCACUCAGUGGCUUAAGGAUCCAGCAUUGCCAAGAGCAGGUCGAAGAUUUGGCUCAGAUCCCGUGUCACUGUGGCUGUGGUGUAGGCUGGCAGUUGUAGCUCCGAUUCAACCCCUAGCCUGGGAAGGUCCAUAUGCC